UCCUGGCGUAAUUGUCAGGGCCACACGUCUGCUCAUCACGGCAAUCUUAGUUGUCAUUAAAUGCAACUGCAACACUUAGUAAGUAAUGAAAGGAUGAAGCGGUGGUGCUCUUGAAAGAUGUAGUAGGCUAGAUAAC
rnacentral:sRNA from 12 species